AAUCAACGCUGGCGGCGUGCCUCAGACAUGCAAGUCGAACGCGAAAGUUCCCUUCGGGGGCGAGUAGAGUGGCGCACGGGUGAGUAACACGUAGGUAAUCUACCUUUGGGUGGGGAAUAACAGCCGGAAACGGCUGCUAAUACCGCAUAAUGCAGCGGCUCGACAUCGAGACAGUUGUUAAAGCGGGGGAUCGCAAGACCUCGCGCCUAAAGAGGAGCCUGCGGCGGAUUAGCUUGUUGGUGAGGUAAUGGCUCACCAAGGCAUCGAUCCGUAGCCGGCCUGAGAGGGCGGUCGGCCACACUGACACUGACAUACGGGUCAGACUCCUACGGGAGGCAGCAGUGGGGAAUAUUGCGCAAUGGGCGAAAGCCUGACGCAGCGACGCCGCGUGUGGGAUGAAGGUCUUCGAUUGUAAACCACUGUCGGGAGGGACGAAUGCGCCGCAAGGCGAGUGACGGUACCUCCAAAGGAAGCACCGG
rnacentral:rRNA from 1 species